GGUUUUUUAGUCAAUUAUGGCGUGUUGAUUUCGGCUCAGCGAGAAUGGUAGUAGAACCAUAAAAACUU
rnacentral:tRNA from 1 species